rnacentral:tRNA from 2 species
AGGGGUGUAGCUCAGUUGGAAGAGCAUCGGUCUCCAAAACCGAGGGUCGGGGGUUCGAGUCCCUCCGCCCCUGCCA